GUGCCAGCAGCCGCGGUAAUACGUNUGGUGCAAGCGUUGUUNGGAAUCAUUGGGCGUAAAGGGUAUGUAGGCGGAGAAAUAAGUUAGGUGUGAAACCUAUGGGCUCAACCCAUAGCCUGCACUUAAAACUGUUUUUCUGGAGUUAGGGAGAGGUAAGCGGAAUUCCUGGUGUAGCGGUGAAAUGCGUAGAUAUCAGGAGGAACACCGGUGGCGAAAGCGGCUUACUGGCCUAUAACUGACGCUGAGAUACGAAAGUGUGGGGAGCGAACGGGAUUAGAUACCCCGGUAGUCCACACCCUAAACGUUGUCGACCAGUCGUUAGAGGUAUCAACCCCUCUAGUGACGAACCUAACGGAUUAAGUCGACCGCCUGGGAACUAUGCUCGCAAGAGUGAAACUCAAAUGAAUUGACGG
rnacentral:rRNA from 1 species